rnacentral:lncRNA from 1 species
GGAGACCAGACUGUAUCAGCUGGAAAUUAUUAGACCGUUGAUCAUGAACUCGACUAAACUUAAACAUUAAACAUUCUCCUACAUACAAGUAAGGAAAUAAAAGAACAUAAUCCCCAAAGCGUAUAAUUCUAAACUGCCAUAGUCUUGUCUUGUAUGAGGAUCCUGUUUUUCAAAGGCACACCUCUGUCUCUGGUUUCAAAUUCAGAAUCCGAGUAAAGAAAGGGUGUGUUUUUUUACUAUUUAACCAGAGACAGCCUAUACUUAUACAUGUAGUACUAAUAGACUGAUUAACACCCA